UACAGAGGCCCCAAGCGUUACUGAGAAUCACUGGGUUUAAAGGGUGCGUAGGUGGCGGGGUAAGUCAGGUGUGAAAUCUCGGAGCUCAACUCCGAAACUGCACUUGAUACUGCCUUGCUCGAGUACUGGAGAGGAGAUUGGAAUUUACGGUGUAGCAGUGAAAUGCGUAGAUAUCGUAAGGAAGACCAGUGGCGAAGGCGAAUCUCUGGACAGUUACUGACACUGAGGCACGAAGGCCAGGGGAGCAAACGGG
rnacentral:rRNA from 1 species